GUACAUAGAUACACCAUUAGAAGUUCGAGGUAGGUUCCAGUAAUGCGGUUUACACCUCGUUGGGUACUGCCACGGUCUCGGUCAUUCGGCUGACUGGACGCCUACCUGAAACACCACACACUCACGCCCGCAAUGGUUUUCCUUUAUUGUGAUUUAAGCACCACCUGGAGUUUGGGCCUCUGUUGUUGUAUACUUGCUGUGACCGUGUCUGAGGAAUCUAACUGCGCCUGUGAACAGUGCCCGCAAAUAAACUCACGGCACCUGUCUGGAAGUUUCUGUACCGUUCCUCGCUCUACAAGGGUGCUGGUCCUGCUGCCUGUGUACAAGAGCUCCCUCAACCUUUCCCUGCUUGAUCACUCUUUCCAUAAUCACGAGCACAGUGGGAACAGUGGCAGGGACCCUUGUGGGAAGUCUGGCAAGGGAGGGGAGCCGUGUUUGAGCUUGGGCAAGGAAGGAGAGCCUAGAAGGAACAUUAGCAGUGGUCAGAGAGGCUUGUGGGAGCUUAAGGAGGGGGAAUGAAACCUUGCUAAGACACGGCAGAAAGUGAAAACGAGUGAAAACGUGUGGAAAUCAUGAAAGUCAGGGGCUGGAUGAAGGGAGUCUUGUAUUAGUCGUUGUAUGUAGGGGAGAAAGACCGUUAGAGUAGCCUUAGUAGGGAAGAGGAACCCUGUUAUAACCUUGCAUGGUGGAGGUACGUAAGCCAUUUUAAGAGCCAUACAGUGAUAAGGGAACCAUGUGGGAGCCUUGCAGCAGCCUUGGAAAGGGCAGGAAUCAUGAAAAGAACCAUUAGGGAACCAUAGCAAUGUAAGGGAACCAUGAAAGAGUUUGAUUAGGGAAUGGAACCAUGUAGUAGCCUUGGAAGGGAGAAAGAAUCCUAUAAAACACUGUAUGCCAGAGAAAAGCCAUUAUGGAAUCCUGGAAGGGUGAGGGAAUUGUGAUAUAUGAUUGUGGCAAGGGGACGGAGACAUAUGAGUAAAGAAGGGGAAGAUAAACUAUUUUGGAACCAUGGAAAGCGGAAGAAGCAUGUGGGAGUGUGGCAGGGAGGGAGGACAUACAGAGGUGGAGAGAAGCUAUUUGGAAGCCAUGGGAGGGUGAGGGAUCUAUGCUGUGGGAGUGUGGCAGGGAAAAAGACUUGCAGGGAAUUAAGUUGAGCUAUUUUUGGGUCAUGGAAAGCUGAGGGAAAAUUUUGGGAGUGUGGUAGGGGAAGAGAGUCUUGUAGCAGAUGAGAUAAGCUAUUUUGUAGACUUUGGGAGGAGGAGGGGCAAGGUGGGAGCCUGACAAGAGGGAGGGGGAGCUGCAGGGGGCUUUUGUCUGUCUGGGAAGCAUAAUUAAGCUUCCAAGACUCUUCAGACCACCUCAUGAACGCCGCGAGAGGUCUUCAUAAUGAAGGAGAGAAAAAGAGGAGCGAGAUAGAGGGGCGGAGGAAAAGGAAGGGAAAGGAAAAGGGAAGGAAAUCCAUUCGAAAAAAAAAAAAUUGUAUUUCAAGAAGGCGAUUGGUUGAGACGAGGCAGUGGUGGUCUUCCUGUGGCCAAUAGCGACAGAGGAACACAAAGGAACACAAAAAGAAACAAAGCAGCAGCCCCUACGAGACCAUUUGUGGCAAGGUGCACGAUUUAAUCUAAAAUAAGAGAUGCAGGAUCGUCAAGGCAAAGGAUCAUUAGUAAAGGAGAAAGCUCAAGCACAGGCCUUUGAAAUUCA